rnacentral:rRNA from 1 species
AUUGAACGCUGGCGGCAGGCCUAACACAUGCAAGUCGAGCGGAGCGGCGGACGGGUAAGUAAUGCCUAGGAAUCUGCCUGGUAGUGGGGGAUAAGGUCCGGAAACGGGAGCUAAUACCGCAUCCUAUCAGAUGAGCCUAGGUCGGAUUAGCUAGUUGUGGGGGUAAAGGCCUACCAAGGCGACGAUCCGUAACUGGUCUGAGAGGAUGAUCAGUCACACUGGAACUGAGACACGGUCCAGACUCCUACGGGAGGCAGCAGUGGGGAAUAUUGGACAAUGGGCGCAAGCCUGAUCCAGCCAUGCCGCGUGUGUGAAGAAGGCCUUCGGGUUGUAAAGCACUUUCGGUGGGAAGGCGGUACCCAAAGAAUAAGCACCGGCUAACUCCGUGCCAGCAGCCGCGGUAAUAC